rnacentral:rRNA from 1 species
UUUUGUGGGGUGCUCGAGUGGCGAACGGGUGAGUAACACGUGAGUAACCUGCCCUUGACUUUGGGAUAACUUCAGGAAACUGGGGCUAAUACCGGAUAGGAGCUCCUGCUGCAUGGUGGGGGUUGGAAAGUUUCGGCGGUUGGGGAUGGACUCGCGGCUUAUCAGCUUGUUGGUGGGGUAGUGGCUUACCAAGGCUUUGACGGGUAGCCGGCCUGAGAGGGUGACCGGCCAAAUUGGGACUGAGAUACGGCCCAG